CGACGGUCUUUAGGCUAUUUUGACUCUUUUCUUUGAGUGUUUUUUACGUUUUUAAAAAAUUAUCCUAACUCUUAUUCUUCGCUGGAGUUCACUGGAGACUGCCGAACUUUCAACGCUCCCGCUAUUUUGCACGAUUAGAUUUUUGCAAGGAUUUAUAAGCUGAUGAAGCUGCGCUCUGCAUGGCUGGUCACGAUACAACAGUCCACCACUUCGUUAUACAUGUCGUAAUAAUGACAGGGACGAUCACAACUACGGAAACCACCACGGUGGAGAUGAUAAAGAGGCGGAGAUGUCGAGCUUCGAUCGGAAUAAACUGGGGCAGGAUUUUUUUCAACAGUUUGCAGACGCCAUCCAAUGUUAUAUUGCUACUAGUGAAAUCCAAUUAUUCUAAAGAGAUGCACAUCGAAUAUUAAUCCACCCAUUGGAAUUUACAAUUCCCAACGCUAUCUUUCUUUCUACUGAAUCUAUCUAUCUUUAUUACUAAAUAAAACGUUUCCUUGUAUUUUUA